rnacentral:sRNA from 1 species
CAGCAAAACCUGACAUUCUGCAGCUAGCGGCUUUCUCACACUCCUCAUCUCCCUUGACUCUCCCAAGAAUGCUGGGUGGGUGGUGGUCCACCUGCAUUUUUGAUAAGGAGGCCAGUGUUGGGAGGUGAGGUCCCUGCCCCCUGUCUCCCAUGAAUGGGGGACAGCCAGCAUUUGAAACCAUGCUCCAGCUCUCUAACUGGUAGAGGGGACAUCUAAGUGACCAGACACUUGGCUCUGCAGGUCCCCUCUGCAGGCACCGGCACACACGGAGAGUCAUCUGUGUGAAUUACCUCGUGGGAUUCUGCCCGGAGGGGCCCUCAUGUAAAUUCAUGCACCCUCGAUUUGAACUGCCCAUGGGAACCACCGAGCAGCCCCCACUGCCGCAGCAGACACAGCCUCCAGCAAAGGUACCGUGCCUGGCCUUCCUCGGUAGAAAGGAAGUGCCUUUUCUACAGCAAGAACCUCAGUGUCCCCCAGGGGUGCGGUCUGCCUUAGACCCCGCUGGACAACUUGGGAGAGAAGGGGAGUCUCCCAAGUUGCCGCAGAAAAGUCAGGAGCAAAGCCACGUGUAUCUCC